rnacentral:rRNA from 1 species
GCAUGGCUGGUUGGCUACGUUCGGAAAGGAUAACCGCUGAAAGCAUCUAAGCGGGAAGCCUGCUUCGAGAUGAGUAUUCCCACCCCCUUUGAGGGGUUAAGGCUCCCAGUAGACGACUGGGUUGAUAGGCCAGAUGUGGAAGCCCGGUAACGGGUGGAGCUGACUGGUACUAAUAGGCCGAGGGCUUGUCCUCAGUUG